ensembl:lncRNA
AGAAGAGUGGUGUUCACACAUUUAACUUCCUCUAUUCUCCUCUACUGGAGUCCUCCCUGUGACGUACUGAAAUAACAAAAAGCUUGAAAACUGCAUCAAACAAAUGAAGAACCUGGAAACGUUUUUUCAUAUUUUUGAUAUUUAAAAGAGACAGGCAAGUUAGAGAUCUUCCAUAUUAAGAUUCAUUCAGCAAGUGUGUUGUUGAUGUCACUAUGAGGAAGUGAGCAGGAAGUCAGUGGUGUAUUCAUCUUUGUUACUGCCUCAUUUGUGAACGUGAGAACAAGAGUACAGACUGAGAGAGACAGAGAAGCAUGAUGGCUGAGUUCAGAUGGAUUCAAAUGCUUCUGUUCCUGAUACUGAUGCUUCAGUUUAAAGCAGCAGUAACUGAACAACACGGCCCCACAUUCCUGAUCAGAGUUGGUGAUGAAGUCACUUUGCCUUGUCAAAAUGUGACAGCUGGUCAGCCUGACUGUAACAGUACUGGCUGGUUCUUCAAACAUUUUAAUGUUGCUGAGUUAUCCAGGCGGAUUCCUCUUGGUUUGAUUGAAGAAAAACAGAAAAAUAAAUCAGACAGACUGAGUGUUACAGCAAACUGUUCUCUGGUCAUAAAGAACAUCACAGUUCAUGAUGCUGGUCAGUACAUCUGCAGACGCGACACAUCACAAGACCAACGACUCUGUGGACAAUCCUGUUCUUCUCUGUCUGUCAUCAACAUGACUGAACAUGUGAACAAUGGUAAAGUCAUCUUGUCCUGCUCUGUGUUGGAGUAUGAUCCAUGUUCACACACAGUGCAGUGGAUCUAUGAGGGUGAAGAGAAAUCCUCAGACAUGCAGAUAUCACCACGAGGCUGCACUGCCACUGUGACAUUUACAACAUCUCACCUUAAUCAGAAGUUUUUUGAGUUAUUAAAGUGUAAUGUGACAAAUCAGAACAGCAAGAAAGUGCAGCUGUUUCCUUUCAGCCGUCAGUCCUCAGGUGGGACAACAGAUGGGGAUAAAUCAACGGAUGAAGGUUCAUUAUUGCCGUAUAUUAUUGCUCUUGUAUGUUUAGUGGCACUCUUAAUUGUUGUAGCAUUCAUCACAUGGAAGAAAGGGAAAAAAACACAAAUAGAAGACAAUGCUGUGAGUUUAAACACUGAAAGAUUAGGUUUAAACCCAGCUGAGAUUCAGUCUGAUCCAGGAAAGAGUCAGGAGAUGGAUGAUCCUGAGGAUGGAGUUAACUAUGCUUCCAUCAGCUACACUAAGAAGGCCAACAGUAAGGCCAGUGCUCAGGUCCACAAUGAUGAAGGUGACACUGUGACAUACAGCACUGUGAAAGCUCCCUCAGCUUCUCUUGAAGUCUCCACUGAUCCCAACAACCUGUAUUCCACCAUCACCAAAUAA